rnacentral:miRNA from 2 species
UUGGGGAAGCGGCCGCUGAGUGA